UAUAUUUUAGUGUAUGAUGCACAGAAAGUUUUGAACUUUCAGGGUAUAGUUUAAAUCUAUAAAGUAUAA
rnacentral:tRNA from 1 species